AUGUGAAAAUUUGCAUGAGGGAUGAGAAAAAACAUGCGGGCUCUUUUUCGCCUGUUUUUGGCCACUGGCGAAAAAUAAACUUCGGUGAAAUCUUAUGUCUGGGGCUCUCAUUAGUUUGCAUUCUCAGAAAUCGAAGCACUUGGAAUGGAUGGGUCUUGAACGGUAGGACAUCUGCGAAGAAGUCACCACUCGUACUGUAUCCUGUUUUGAAAGUUGAUCUCGUGUAAGGCGAUGGAUAUGGGUAUUUAGAGUUUAGAGCAGAGACCUACGGGAGCUUGUGACUUUUUUCAAUAUCAUCCUCACAAUUUCAUCCUGUGCUCUUUACUGCCCAAAUCAAGAAAGAGCCUUUGACCACUCAAAUCCCUUCCCCGUCUAAUGGAAUAUCCCGGAUUCGUUCAUGGGACAUAGGAUAGGAUCUCUAUUAAUCGACCUGUUACUACCCUUUGCAACUGGAACAUCAACCCGAAAAACCUUAAAUCUAAUGCCUAAUGUGCCUAGAGGCGGCACACAUAUUAUCUUCUAAUGCUCCUAUCCAUAAUAUAUGUCCAGCUUCAUAAUUGAAGUUAUGAAAUUAUUUGUUAGCUUGAGGUUAAAAUA